AUGAACGCUAGCGACAGGCUUAACACAUGCAAGUCGAGGGGUAACAGGGUAGCAAUACCGCUGACGACCGGCGCACGGGUGAGUAACGCGUAUGCAACCUGCCUAUAACUGGGGAAUAGCUCCCGUGAAAGGGGAAUUAACACCGCAUAACACUAUUGAUUCGCAUGGAUUGGUAGUUAAAUGUAGCGAUACAGGUUAUAGAUGGGCAUGCGUGACAUUAGCUAGUUGGUGAGGUAACGGCUCACCAAGGCUACGAUGUCUAGGGGUUCUGAGAGGAAGGUCCCCCACACUGGUACUGAGACACGGACCAGACUCCUACGGGAGGCAGCAGUGAGGAAUAUUGGUCAAUGGGCGCAAGCCUGAACCAGCCAUGUCGCGUGCAGGAAGACUGCCCUAUGGGUUGUAAACUGCUUUUAUAGUAGAAGAAACACAUCUACGCGUAGAUGUCUGCCAGUAUACUAUGAAUAAGCAUCGGCUAACUCCGUGCCAGCCGCGGC
rnacentral:rRNA from 1 species